rnacentral:lncRNA from 1 species
GUAUAACGAGAGGAAUAAUUUUCAGUCUUAGUUUAAAUAGGCGCCCACCUGUAUAACGAGAGGAAUACUUUUCAUAUCUUAGUUUAAAUAGGCGCCCACCUAUAUAACGAGAGGAAUAAUUUUCAUGUCUUAGUUUAAAUAGGCGCCCACCUGUAUAACGAGAGGAAUACUUUUCAUGUCUUAGUUUAAAUAGGCGCCCACCUGUAUAACGAGAGGAAUAAUUUUCAUGUCUUAGUUUAAAUAGGCGCCCACCUGUAUAACGAGAGGAAUAAUUUUCAUGUCUUAAUUUAAAUAGGCGCCCACCUGUAUAACGAGAGGAAUAAUUUUCAUGUCUUAGUUUAAAUAGGCGCCCACCUGUAUAACGAGAGGAAUACUUUUCAUGUUUUAAG